ACAAACUUGGUCAUUUAGAGGAAGUAAAAGUCGUAACAAGGUUUCCGUAGGUGAACCUGCGGAAGGAUCAUUAAUGAAUAAACUUGAUGGGUUGUAGCUGACUCUCCGGAGUAUUGUGCACGCUUGUCAUCUUUAUCUAUCCACCUGUGCACACUCUGUAGUUCUUGAGGGAAAUUUGAGAAGUGGAUCAUUGACUUGGUCUAUUGUAUCACUUAUUCCUUGAGUUCUAUGUGUCUUUCAUACACUACAUAACACGUCGCAGAAUGUAUUUUAAAUGGGCCUUUGUUGCCUAUAUAAAACUAUAUACAACUUUCAGCAACGGAUCUCUUGGCUCUCGCAUCGAUGAAGAACGCAGC
rnacentral:misc_RNA from 1 species